rnacentral:rRNA from 1 species
AUUGAACGCUGGCGGCAGGCCUAACACAUGCAAGUCGAACGAGUGGCGGACGGGUGAGUAAUGUCUGGGAAACUGCCUGAUGGAGGGGGAUAACUACUGGAAACGGUAGCUAAUACCGCAUACCAUCGGAUGUGCCCAGAUGGGAUUAGCUAGUAGGUGGGGUAACGGCUCACCUAGGCGACGAUCCCUAGCUGGUCUGAGAGGAUGACCUUCAACCCUGGAACUGAGCCACGUUCCAGACUCGUACGGGAGGCAGCAGUGGGGAAUAUGUCAAAGUGGGAGCAAGCCUGAUGCUGCCAUGCCGCGUGUAGGAAGCGGUCGUUCGUGUUGUCAAGUACUUUCAGCGGCGAGGCUUUACCCCCAGUAGAAGCACCGGCGAACUCCGUGCCAGCAGCCGCGGUAAUAC